rfam:Anolis carolinensis unplaced genomic scaffold chrTn0027, whole genome shotgun sequence.
CUUUGCUUUCAGCUUCUUUACAGUGUUGCCUUGUGGCAUGGAGUUCAAGCAGCAUUGUACAGGGCUAUCAAAGCGCAG